rnacentral:rRNA from 1 species
UACGUAGGGCGCAAGCGUUGUCCGGAAUUAUUGGGCGUAAAGAGCUCGUAGGCGGCCUGUUGCGUCCGCUGUGAAAUCCCGGGGCUUAACCCCGGGCGUGCAGUGGAUACGGGCAGGCUGGAGGCAGGCAGGGGAGAACGGAAUUCCCGGUGUAGCGGUGAAAUGCGCAGAUAUCGGGAGGAACACCGGUGGCGAAGGCGGUUCUCUGGGCCUGUACUGACGCUGAGACACGAAAGCGUGGGGAGCAAUCAGG